rnacentral:rRNA from 1 species
GACGAACGCUGGCGGCGUGCUUAACACAUGCAAGUCGAACGGAAAGGCCCUGCUUUUGUGGGGUGCUCGAGUGGCGAACGGGUGAGUAACACGUGAGUAACCUGCCCUUGACUUUGGGAUAACUUCAGGAAACUGGGGCUAAUACCGGAUAGGAGCUCCUGCUGCAUGGUGGGGGUUGGAAAGUUUCGGCGGUUGGGGAUGGACUCGCGGCUUAUCAGCUUGUUGGUGGGGUAGUGGCUUACCAAGGCUUUGACGGGUAGCCGGCCUGAGAGGGUGACCGGCCACCUUGGGACUGCGGUACCGCCCAGACUCCUACGGGAGGCAGCAGUGGGGAAUAUUGCCCAAUGGGCGGAAGCCUGAUGCAGCAACGCCGCGUGCGGGAUGACGGCCUUCGGGUUGUAAACCGCUUUCGCCUGUGACGAAGCGUGAGUGGCGGUAAUGGGUAAAGAAGCACCGGCUAACUACGUG